rnacentral:rRNA from 1 species
CGAUAAGAACUCUCAAAAAAGAUUACGCUGUUAUCCCUAAGGUAAUUGAAUCUUCUAAUCUAAAUCACAGGAUCAAUUAAUUACAUAUAAAUAUUAAGAUAAAAAAAAAGUUAAUUAAGUUUUUAAAUCACCCCAACUAAAUUAAUUUUUAAAUAAAAAAUCUUUAAUUCUAAUUCUUAAUAUACAAAAAUUAAUAAAACUCUAUAGGGUCUUCUCGUCUUUAAUUGAAAUUUAAGCUUUUUAACUUAAAUAUAAAAUUCUAAUUAAUUUAAAUAGAGACAGUCAUUUUCUCAUCAAACCUUUCAUUCCAGCUUUCAAUUAAAAAACUAAUGAUUAUGCUACCUUUGCACGGUCAAAUUACCGCGGCCAUUUAAAUUCUCAUUGGGCAGGUUAGACCUUAAAUUAUACUCAAAAA